AUUGAACGCUGGCGGCAGGCCUAACACAUGCAAGUCGAACGAGUGGCGGACGUGUGAGUCAUGUCUGGGAAACUGCCUGAUGGAGGGGGAUAACUACUGGAAACGGUAGCUAAUACCGCAUACCAUCAGCUGUUCACAGAUUGGAUUAGCUUGUUGGUGGGGUAACGGCUCACCAAGGCGACGAUCCCGAGCGGGUCUGAGAGGAUGACCAGCCACACUGGAACUGAGACACGGUCCAGACUCAUACGGGAGGCAGCAGUGGGGAAUAUUGCACAAUGGGCGAAAGCCGGAUGCAGCCAUGCCGCGUGAAUGAAGAAGGCCUUCGGGUUGUAAAGUACUUUCAGCGGGGAGGCGGUACCCGAAGAAGAAGCACCGGCUAACUCCGUGCCAGCAGCCGCGGUAAUAC
rnacentral:rRNA from 1 species